GGGGAGGCGGAAAAUUGAAUUAGCCUUUUUCCUUUCUGGAGAAUGUGUUGGUAUUAGCCUUGGGGGAUAAGUUGUUUAAAUUUGGAGAAGAGUAAUCUAUUGCCUCUGUAUUUAUGCCCUGCAAUAUGUGCUGCAAAAUAUGCUGGUAUUGCAGCUUCUGUAAGUUUUAAUUCUAGCAGGGGGAGGGGGAGGGGGAAAAUUGAAUUUGUUACACUCUCUUAUUUCCAAUUUAUUUAUAGGUGAUUCUCUACAAUGGGAUAUAAACUUUGUAAAAAAUAUUUUUAUUUCAAGAGAUGUGGGUUUAAUUUUAAAAAUUCCAUUAUCUACAGUAAAAAGAGCAGAUCAAUGGUUUUGGAGCAUAGAGUCUCAUGGAAAUUACACGGUGCAAAGUGGGUAUAAACUAGACAUGAACUUCUCUGGGGGAUUAGUUGUUUAAAUUUGGACAAGAGUAAUCUUUUGCCUGUGUAUUUAUGCACAGGAAUAUGUGCUGCAAAAUAUGCUGCUAGUGCAGUUUCUGUAAGAAAAUUGAAUUAGCCUUUUUCCUUUCUGGAGAAUGUGUUGGUAUUAGCCCUGGUGGAUGAGUUGUUUAAAUUUGGAGAAGAGUAAUCUUUUGCUUCUGUAUUUAUAUCCUGCAAUAUGUGCUACAAAAUAUCCUGCUAGUGCAGUUUCUGUAUGUUUUAAUUCUAGGAGGGGGACGGGGAGGGGGAAAAUUGAAUUAGCCUUUUUCCUUUCUGGAGAAUGUGUUGGUAUUAGCCCUGGUGGAUGAGUUGUUUAAAUUUGGANNNNNNNNNNNNNNNNNNNNNNNNNNNNNNNNNNNNNNNNNNNNNNNNNNNNNNNNNNNNNNNNNNNNNNNNNNNNNNNNNNNNNNNNNGAGGGGUAGGGGCAAAAUUCAAUUAGCCUUUUUCCUUUCUGGAGAAUGUGUUUGUAUUAGCCCUGGCGGAUCAGUUGUUUAAAUUUCGGCAAGAGUAAUCUUUUGCCUCUGUAUUUAUGCCCUGCAAUAUGUGCUGCAAAAUAUGCUGCUAGUGCAGUUUAGGGGGACGGGGAGGGGGAGGGGAAGGGGGAAAAUUGAAUUAACCUUUUUCCUUUCUGGAGAAUGUGUUGGUAUUAGCCCUGGUGGAUGAGUUAUUUAAAUUUGGACAAGAGUAAUCUUUUGCCUCUGUAUUUAUGCCCUGCAAUAUGUGCUGCAAAAUAUGCUGAUUGCAGUUUCUGUAAAUUUUAAUUCUUGCAGGGGGAGGGGGGAUGGGGAAAAUUGAAUUAGCCUUUUUCCUUUCUGGAGAAUGUGUUGGUAUUAGCCCUGGUGGAUGAGUUGUUUAAAUUUGGACAAGAGUAAUCUUUUGCCUCUGUAUUUAUGCCCUGCAAUCUGUGCCGCAAAAUAAGCUGCUAGUGCAGUUUCUGUAAGUUGUAAUUCUAGCAGGGGGAGGGGGUGGGGUAAAAUUGAAUUAGCCUUUUUCCUUUCUGGAGAAUGUGUUGGUAUUAGCCCUAGUGCAUGAGUUGUUUAAAUUUGGGCAAGAGUAAUCUUUUGCCUUUGUAUUUAUGCCUUGCAAUAUGCGCUGCAAAAUAUGCUGCUAUUUCAGUUUCUGUAAGUCUUAAUUCUUGCAGGGGGAGGGGAUGGGGAAAAUUGAAUUAGCCUUUUUCCUUUCUGUAGAAUGUGUUGGUAUUGGCCCUGGUGGAUGAGUUGUUUAAAUUUGGACAAGAGUAAUCUUUUGCCUCUUUAUUUAUGCCCUGCAAUCUGUGCUGCAAAAUAUGCUGCUAGUGCAGUUUCUGUAAGUUUUAAUUCUAGCAGGGGGAGCGGGAGGGGGUAAAUUGAAUUAGCCUUUUUCCUUUGUGGAGAAUGUGUUGGUAUUAGACCUGGUGGAUGAGUUAUUUAAAUUUGGACAAGAGUAAUCUUUUGCCUCUUUAUUUAUGCCCUGCAAUCUGUGCUGCAAAAUAUGCUGCUAGUGCAGUUUCUGUAAGUUUUAAUUCUAGCAGGGAGUGGGAAAAUUGAAUUAGCCUUUUUCCUUUUUGGAGAAUGUGUUGGUAUUAGACCUGGUGGAUGAGUUAUUUAAAUUUGGACAAGAGUAAUCUUUUGCCUCUGUAUUUAUGCCCUGCAAUAUGUGCUGCAAAAUAUGCUGGUAGUGCAGUUUCUGUAAGUUUUAAUUCUAGCAGGGAGUGGGAAAAUUGAAUUAGCCUUUUUCCUUUUUGGAGAAUGUGUUGGUAUUAGACCUGGUGGAUGAGUUAUUUAAAUUUGGACAAGAGUAAUCUUUUGCCUCUGUAUUUAUGCCCUGCAGUAUGUGCUGCAAAAUAUGCUGCUAGUGGAGUUUUUGAAAAUUUUGAUUGUAGCAGGGGAAGGGGGAGGGGGAGGCGGAAAAUUGAAUUAGCCUUUUUCCUUUCUGGAGAAUGUGUUGGUAUUAACCCUGUUGGAUGAGUUGUUUAAAUUUGGAGAAGAGUAAUGUUUUGCCACUGUAUUUAUGCCCUGCAAUAUGUGCUGCAAAAUAUGCUGGUAUUGCAGCUUCUGUAAGUUUUAAUUCUAGCAGGGGGAGGGGGAGGGGGAGGCGGAAAAUUGAAUUAGCCUUUUUCCUUUCUGGAGAAUGUGUUGGUAUUAGCCCUGGUGGAUGAGUUGUUUAAAUUUGUAGAAGGGUAAUCUUUUGCCUCUGUAUUUAUGCCCUGCAAUAUGUGCUGNNN
rnacentral:lncRNA from 1 species